CGGCGGACGGCUGAGUAACGCGUAGGAACAUACCCCAAAGUGAGGGAUAACUGCUCGAAAGAGUAGCUAAUACCGCAUGUGGUCUAAGGAUUAAAGCUUCGGCGCUUUGGGAAUGGCCUGCGUAUGAUUAGCUUGUUGGUGAGGUAAUGGCUCACCAAGGCGACGAUCAUUAGCUGGUCUAAGAGGAUGAUCAGCCAGACUGGGACUGAGACACGGCCCAGACUCCUACGGGAGGCAGCAGUAGGGAAUCUUCCACAAUGGGCGAAAGCCUGAUGGAGCAACGCCGCGUGCAGGAUGAAUGCCUUCGGGUUGUAAACUGCUUUUAUAUGUGAAGAUUAUGACGGUAGCAUAUGAAUAAGGAUCGGCUAACUCCGUGCCAGCAGCCGCGGUCAUACGGAGGAUCCAAGCGUUAUCCGGAAUUACUGGGCGUAAAGAGUUGCGUAGGCGGCAUUGUAAGUAGGUAGUGAAAUCCUGGGGCUCAACCCUUUAAACAUUAUCUAAACUGCAAAGCUAGAAUAUGAGAGAGGUCGCUGGAAUUCCUAGU
rnacentral:rRNA from 1 species